rnacentral:rRNA from 1 species
GACGAACGCUGGCGGCGUGCUUAACACAUGCAAGUCGAACGGAAAGGCCCUGCUUUUGUGGGGUGCUCGAGUGGCGAACGGGUGAGUAACACGUGAGUAACCUGCCCUUGACUUUGGGAUAACUUCAGGAAACUGGGGCUAAUACCGGAUAGGAGCUCCUGCUGCAUGGUGGGGGUUGGAAAGUUUCGGCGGUUGGGGAUGGACUCGCGGCUUAUCAGCUUGUUGGUGGGGUAGUGGCUUACCAAGGCUUUGACGGGUAGCCGGCCUGAGAGGGUGACCGGCCACAUGGGGACUGAGAUACGGCCCAGACUCCUACGGGAGGCAGCAGUGGGGAAUAUUGCACAAGGGGCGGAAGCCUGAUGCAGCAACGCCGCGUGCGGGAUGACGGCCUUCGGGUUGUAAACCGCCUUCGCCUGUGACGAAGCGUGAGUGACGGUAAUGGGUAAAGAAGCACCGGCUAACUACGU